UAGGGGCGCUGCUCUCGCUCUCGCGGCUCCCGGCCGGGCCGGGCCGGCCAGGCGGAGGGAGGGCAUCGCGGGGGCCGCUGCCCGGGCCCGGCUCCGGCCCGGAGGCACCGAGGCCGCGGGAGAGCUGGGCACCGGCGGCCACGGGCCCUCUCGGUGCGCACGCGAGCGCGCCCCCCGGCGCCGCGGCGCCCCGCCGCCCACCGCGUCCCCGCGCCGGCCCGCCCAGGAGAGUGUGUGCAGUUGGAGGGAGCCCGAGUCUGAAGAUGAGUGCGAGUCUCCCCGGGUCUCCCAGGUUCCUGGACGGCCGGGCGCCCUCCUGGCCGGAGCUGUAUCCCCAGCUGGCAGCGAUCCCAGAGAGACAGGCACCAGAACUUUGUGGAGUCGGUGCUCCUGGGCAGUGAGAAGUGAGGAUGCCAAGUGCUGCCUUUUGUGACAGCUCUGUGGAAAAGGGGGGCGCCCCUGAAGUGCACACAGUGUGCCGAGGAGGAGAGGCUGCAUCUGAGGACGUUUAGUCUGUAUGGCAGAUACCAAAACCCCACCAGGUGGAAGAAGUUAACGGUCUGCUGCCCACAAGCACGUAGACCCCAGACCGGUUUGAACCAGAAGUUUGAUGAUGCUGACUCCCAAUUACCUCACCACCAACCAAUCAGAAGAAAGUCCAUGAGCUGACCACGCCCUCCUCUUUGAACCAUUACUAUAAAACUCCUCACUACCCCCUCCAGGUCAGGACACACAGUUUUGAGGGCAUUAGCCUGGUGUGGCCCCCUUUUCCUGGCAAAGCAAUAAAGCUCUUCUUUUUACUUCACCCAGAA